GACGAACGCUGGCGGCGUGCUUAACACAUGCAAGUCGAACGGAAAGGCCCUAGCUUGCUGGGGUACUCGAGUGGCGAACGGGUGAGUAACACGUGGGUGAUCUGCCCUGCACUCUGGGAUAAGCCUGGGAAACUGGGUCUAAUACCGGAUAGGACCGUGCUUUAGUGUGUGCGGUGGAAAGUUUUUCGGUGCAGGAUGAGCCCGCGGCCUAUCAGCUUGUUGGUGGGGUAAUGGCCUACCAAGGCGGCGACGGGUAGCCGGCCUGAGAGGGUGUACGGCCACAUUGGGACUGAGACACGGCCCAGACUCCUACGGGAGGCAGCAGUGGGGAAUAUUGCACAAUGGGCGCAAGCCUGAUGCAGCGACGCCGCGUGGGGGAUGACGGCCUUCGGGUUGUAAACCCCUUUCGGCAGGGACGAAGCUUUUGUGACGGUACCUGCAUAAGAAGCACCGGCUAACUACGUG
rnacentral:rRNA from 1 species